rnacentral:rRNA from 1 species
AUUGAACGCUGGCGGCAUGCCUUACACAUGCAAGUCGAACGGCAGCACGGGAGCAAUCCUGGUGGCGAGUGGCGAACGGGUGAGUAAAGUAUCGGAACGUGCCCAGUCGUGGGGGAUAACGUAGCGAAAGUUACGCUAAUACCGCAUACGAUCUAUGGAUGAAAGCGGGGGAUCGCAAGACCUCGCGCGAUUGGAGCGGCCGAUAUCAGAUUAGGUAGUUGGUGGGGUAAAGGCUCACCAAGCCGACGAUCUGUAGCUGGUCUGAGAGGACGACCAGCCACACUGGGACUGAGACACGGCCCAGACUCCUACGGGAGGCAGCAGUGGGGAAUUUUGGACAAUGGGCGCAAGCCUGAUCCAGCCAUGCCGCGUGCAGGAUGAAGGCCUUCGGGUUGUAAACUGCUUUUGUACGGAACGAAAAGGUUUGGCUUAAUACGUUGAACUCAUGACGGUACCGUAAGAAUAAGCACCGGCUAACUACGUGCCAGCCGCCGCCGUAAUAC